GGCGAGUGAAGCGGCAACAGCUCAAAUUUGAAAUCUGGCCCCCAGGGCCCGAGUUGUAAUUUGCAGAGGAUGCUUUUGGCGCGGCGCCUUCCGAGUUCCCUGGAACGGGACGCCAUAGAGGGUGAGAGCCCCGUCUGGUCGGACGCCAAGCCAGUGUAAAGCUCCUUCGACGAGUCGAGUAGUUUGGGAAUGCUGCUCUAAAUGGGAGGUAUAUGUCUUCUAAAGCUAAAUAUAGGCCAGAGACCGAUAGCGCACAAGUAGAGUGAUCGAAAGAUGAAAAGCACUUUGAAAAGAGGGUUAAACAGUACGUGAAAUUGUUGAAAGGGAAGCACUUGUGACCAGACUUGGGCCCGGUGAAUCAUCCAGCGUUCUCGCUGGUGCACUUCGCCGGGCCCAGGCCAGCAUCAGUUCGCCGCGGGGGAUAAAAGCUUCGGGAACGUAGCUCCCUCGGGAGUGUUAUAGCCCGUUGCAUAAUACCCUGCGGUGGACUGAGGUUCGCGCUCCGCAAGGAUGCUGGCGUAAUGGUCACCAGUGACCCGUCUUGAAACACGGACCAAGGAGUCGUCUUCGUAUGCGAGUGUUCGGGUGUCAAACCCCUACGCGUAAUGAAAGUGAACGCAGGUGAGAGCUUCGGCGCAUCAUCGACCGAUCCUGAUGU
rnacentral:rRNA from 1 species